AGGAACCCAGUACUAUGGUGCUAGUACUAGAUUUGUCUGUUUUUCAGGUCCUCCUACUCGUUCUGCUUAUAGCAUCACCAAAUCCCCUUGUAAGCAGGGGAAACCAUUUGAUUGAAUGUUUAGCUCUGCUCUCUUUGCCUGUGGGGAGGAGCAAGUGUCAGCUGUGGUGCAAAGGGGCCAGGGGAUGAACGUGAGCUUUUGCCGGCCGUCGAACAGGAUCAUGAAGAAGAGGAUUGUGGUGAGGAUCCACAGAGUGACGGCCACAAACAUCACCCAGCCAUAUGCUGGCAGCAAAGUGUAGGGGGCACCGGCUAUCAACGCCCACUGGAGCAGCCCCAGAA